rnacentral:rRNA from 1 species
AAACCGUUCAGGGGUAAACCUAAGAAACCCAAAAGAUCGAACGGGGAGAUUCAUCGUCAGCGGCGCUGGCUUCGCGUCGGUGGGCGAUGUCCCGCGGUGCCGUUCCUCGGCUCUCGCGCGGGCACGCUACCGUGCGUCGACGUCCGGCGAUCGUCGUCGUGCACUUCUCCCCUAGUAGGACGUCGCGACCCGCUGGGUGUCGGUCUACGGCCCGGGUGCGGUGACUGUCGCGUCGCCGGUUAAACGGCACGCGGCAAACUCCCGGUCGCCCGGCCGGCUGCCCGGCGGUACACGCAACGGUAUCAGGCCGCGCCGCGCGCGCGUCGAGCCCGUCGCAAGCGAGCGCCACGGUACCCGGAGGUACGGACCUAGUGCCGUCCCCGGUCCUGGCCCGCUGUUGGCUGUACGGUGCAACCUUCGACAGGCCUCCUCUCGGUAACACGAGAUACCGGUCGGCGACGCUACUGCUUUGGGUACUCUUAGGA